rnacentral:lncRNA from 1 species
GUACUCGGUUCGGUAGUGUUCCUUAGUUCCAAAAGUAACUGGUAGAAUGACUUGUCCUAAUGGUAUGGCUGCGUUUCCUGGUACGAUUCUGUAGAAGGGUGAAUCUGUUGGAGUGAGCAUUUUCAUGAUGUCAAAGCACAUUUUCCUUAAUGUUUUGGCAAAAAUGACGUUGAGUCCACUUCCGCCAUUAAUGAGUACCUUUGUCAGUUUUGAUCCUGCAACAAUGGGAUCGAGUACUAGAGGGAAUCGGC